CAGUCGAGCGAAGCGCUUAGAUAGCUUGCUAUUUUUAGUGACUGANCGGCGAACGGGUGAGUAACACGUGGGUAAUCUGCCUGGAAGUCUGGGAUAACAGUUGGAAACGGCUGCUAAUACCGGAUGACAUUGCAGCUGUAGAGGCUGUAAUCAAACGCGUUAUGUAGCGCUUCCAGAUGAGCCCGCGUCCCAUUAGUUANUUGGUGGGGUAAAGGCCUACCAAGGCGACGAUGGGUAGCCGGUCUGAGAGGAUGGUCGGCCACACUGGGACUGANACACGGCCCAGACUCCUACGGGAGGCAGCAGUGGGGAAUUUUGCGCAAUGGGGGCAACCCUGACGCAGCGACGCCGCGUGAGUGAUGAAGGCCUUCGGGUUGUAAAGCUCUGUCUAGGGGGAAGAUAGUGACGGUNCCCCUGGAGGAAGCCCCGGCUAACUACGUGCCAGCAGCCGCNGGUAAGACUUACGGGGCGACCGUUGGUCCGGAAUUACUGGGCGUUAAAGGGCGUGUANGCGGCCUUUCAAGUCAAGCUGUGAAAAUUCCCCGGCUCAACUGGGGGUCUGGANUUNGAAACUGUUUNGGCUUUNAGUUGCANGGANAGGANGGGUUGAAU
rnacentral:rRNA from 1 species